rnacentral:rRNA from 1 species
ACAGUGGACGCGAGCAUCUGUGGCCAAGUUUUUAAGGGCGCACGGUGGAUGCCUUGGCACCAGGAACCGAUGAAGGACGUGGGAGGCCACGAUAGUCCCCGGGGAGUCGUCAACCAGGCUUUGAUCCGGGGGUUUCCGAAUGGGGAAACCCGGCAGUCGUCAUGGGCUGUCACCCUUGUCUGAACACAUAGGGCAAGUGGAGGGAACGCGGGGAAGUGAAACAUCUCAGUACCCGCAGGAAGAGAAAACAACCGUGAUUCCGGGAGUAGUGGCGAGCGAAACCGGAUGAGGCCAAACCGUAUGCGUGUGAGACCCGGCAGGGGUUGCGUAUACGGGGUUGUGGGAUCUCUCUUUCAUGGUCUGCCGGCCGUGAGACGAGUCAGAAACCGUUGAUGUAGGCGAAGGACAUGCGAAAGGUCCGGCGUAGAGGGUAAGACCCCCGUAGCUGAAACAUUAGCGGCUCGUUUGAGAGACACCCAAGUAGCACGGGGCCCGAGAAAUCCCGUGUGAAUCUGGCGGGACCACCCGCUAAGCCUAAAUAUUCCCUGGUGACCGAUAGCGGAUAGUACCGUGAGGGAAUGGUGAAAAGUACCGCGGGAGCGGAGUGAAAUAGUACCUGAAACCGUGUGCCUACAAGCCGUGGGAGCGUCGGACAUCAGCUUGCUGGUGUCUCGUGACUGCGUGCCUUUUGAAGAAUGAGCCUGCGAGUUUGCGGUGUGUUGCGAGGUUAACCCGUGUGGGGAAGCCGUAGCGAAAGCGAGUCCGAACAGGGCGUUUCAGUAGCAUGCUCAAGACCCGAAGCGGAGUGAUCUAGCCAUGGGCAGGUUGAAGCGGAGGUAAGACUUCGUGGAGGACCGAACCCACCAGGGUUGAAAACCUGGGGGAUGACCUGUGGUUAGGGGUGAAAGGCCAAUCAAACUCCGUGAUAGCUGGUUCUCCCCGAAAUGCAUUUAGGUGCAGCGUCGUGUGUUUCUUGCCGGAGGUAGAGCACUGGAUAGGCGAUGGGCCCUACCGGGUUACUGACCUUAGCCAAACUCCGAAUGCCGGUAAGUGAGAGCGCGGCAGUGAGACUGUGGGGGAUAAGCUCCAUGGUCGAGAGGGAAACAGCCCAGAGCAUCGACUAAGGCCCCUAAGCGUACGCUAAGUGGGAAAGGAUGUGGAGUCGCACAGACAACCAGGAGGUUGGCUUAGAAGCAGCCACCCUUGAAAGAGUGCGUAAUAGCUCACUGGUCUAGUGAUUCCGCGCCGACAAUGUAGCGGGGCUCAAGCGUACCGCCGAAGUCGUGUCAUUCAUACUAUAGGGCCAACGCCUGUAUGGAUGGGUAGGGGAGCGUCGUCUGCCGGGUGAAGCAGCCGCGGAAGCGAGUUGUGGACGGUUGACGAGUGAGAAUGCAGGCAUGAGUAGCGAUACACACGUGGGAAACGUGUGCGCCGAUUGACUAAGGGUUCCUGGGUCAAGCUGAUCUGCCCAGGGUAAGUCGGGACCUAAGGCGAGGCCGACAGGCGUAGUCGAUGGAUAACCGGUUGAUAUUCCGGUACCCGCUGUGAAGCGUCAAACAUCGAGCAUCGUGAUGCUAAGGCCGUGAAGCCGCCCUGAUCUCUUCGGAGUUGAGGGGAGUGGUGGAGCCGCCGGACCAAGCGGUUAGUAGGUGAGUGAUGGGGUGACGCAGGAAGGUAGUCCAUCCCGGGCGAUGGUAGUCCCGGGGUAAGGGUGUAGGCCGUGCGGUAGGUAAAUCCGUCGCACACAUGGCUGAGACCUGAUGCCGAGCCGAUUGUGGUGAAGUGGAUGAUCCUAUGCUGUCGAGAAAAGCCUCUAGCGAGUUUCAUGGCGGCCCGUACCCUAAACCGACUCAGGUGGUCAGGUAGAGAAUACCGAGGCGUUCGGGUGAACUAUGGUUAAGGAACUCGGCAAAAUGCCCCCGUAACUUCGGGAGAAGGGGGGCCACGUCUGGUGAUCCGUUUUACACGGUGAGCUGGGGGUGGCCGCAGAGACCAGCGAGAAGCGACUGUUUACUAAAAACACAGGUCCGUGCGAAGCCGUAAGGCGAUGUAUACGGACUGACGCCUGCCCGGUGCUGGAACGUUAAGGGGACCGGUUAGUCGAGAUUCGUCUCGGCGAAGCUGAGAACUUAAGCGCCAGUAAACGGCGGUGGUAACUAUAACCAUCCUAAGGUAGCGAAAUUCCUUGUCGGGUAAGUUCCGACCUGCACGAAUGGCGUAACGACUUCUCGACUGUCUCAACCAUAGGCCCGGUGAAAUUGCACUACGAGUAAAGAUGCUCGUUUCGCGCAGCAGGACGGAAAGACCCCGGGACCUUUACUACAGUUUGAUAUUGGUGUUCGGUUCGGCUUGUGUAGGAUAGCUGGGAGACUUUGAUCAUCGGACGCCAGUUCGGUGUGAGUCGUCGUUGAAAUACCAGUCUGGUCGUGCUGGAUGUCUAACCUGGGUCCGUGAUCCGGAUCAGGGACAGUGUCUGAUGGGUAGUUUAACUGGGGCGGUUGCCUCCUAAAGAGUAACGGAGGCGCCCAAAGGUUCCCUCAGCCUGGUUGGUAAUCAGGUGUUGAGUGUAAGUGCACAAGGGAGCUUGACUGUGAGACCGACGGGUCGAGCAGGGACGAAAGUCGGGACUAGUGAUCCGGCGGUGGCUUGUGGAAGCGCCGUCGCUCAACGGAUAAAAGGUACCCCGGGGAUAACAGGCUGAUCUUCCCCAAGAGUCCAUAUCGACGGGAUGGUUUGGCACCUCGAUGUCGGCUCGUCGCAUCCUGGGGCUGGAGUCGGUCCCAAGGGUUGGGCUGUUCGCCCAUUAAAGCGGUACGCGAGCUGGGUUUAGAACGUCGUGAGACAGUUCGGUCCCUAUCCGCUGUGCGCGUAGGAGUCUUGAGAAGGGCUGUCCCUAGUACGAGAGGACCGGGACGGACGAACCUCUGGUGUGCCAGUUGUCCUGCCAAGGGCAUGGCUGGUUGGCUACGUUCGGGAGGGAUAACCGCUGAAAGCAUCUAAGCGGGAAGCCUGCUUCGAGAUGAGGACUCCCACCCACUUGAUGGGUUAAGGCUCCCAGUAGACGACUGGGUUGAUAGGCCGGAUCUGGAAGCACGGUAACGUGUGGAGGUGACCGGUACUAAUAGGCCGAGGGCUUGUCCUCAGUUG